CCUACGGGAGGCAGCAGUAAGGAAUAUUGGUCAAUGGACGAAAGUCUGAACCAGCCAUGCCGCGUGGAGGAUGAAGGUCCUCUGGAUUGUAAACUUCUUUUAUAUGGGGCGAAAAAAGGGUUUUCUAACUCGACUGACGGUACCAUAUGAAUAAGCACCGGCUAACUCCGUGCCAGCAGCCGCGGUAAUACGGAGGGUGCAAGCGUUAUCCGGAUUCACUGGGUUUAAAGGGAGCGUAGGUGGGUUGAUAAGUCAGUGGUGAAAUCUCCGAGCUUAACUCGGAAACUGCCAUUGAUACUAUCAGUCUUGAAUAUUGUGGAGGCUAGCGGAAUAUGUCAUGUAGCGGUGAAAUGCUUAGAUAUGACAUAGAACACCAAUUGCGAAGGCAGCUGGCUAUACAUAUAUUGACACUGAGGCUCGAAAGCGUGGGGAUCAAACAGGAUUAGAUACCCUGGUAGUCCACGCCCUAAACUAUGGAUACUCGACAUACGCGAUACACUGUGUGUGUCUGAGCGAAAGCAUUAAGUUCCCACC
rnacentral:rRNA from 1 species